UCAAUCUAUUAUAAAUCUACAUGAAACCUGAAUACUUACAAUAAAAAUUGAAUUGAUACAAAAUAAAUGUGUAAAAAUGAAAUGCUUGUGGUUGCCAAGCUGGCCCAACAGGGACAAAGAUCCCAAUCUUAAAACCUGAAAGCACGGUGAGAUAAAGUUAGAAAAAUAUAUGCCAAGUUACUUCAACCGUUCUUUCAGUCAUACACGGUUAAAUCGGCCUAACUAAAUCAUGCAUGCAGUGCUGACUAAAUCAUGCAUGCAGUAAAGCUAUCUCGUUAUAUAUAGUCCUAGUUGCAGGUUCCAGUUCCACGCCCAUCCCAAAAAUUUCUGCUCAUACACAAGCACAAUCCUACUCAAAUCUGGUACAAGUUUUUGUUCAUACACAUCACAUCUUUCAAUGGAUAUCGGCCAUGCCAACAUCGGAGACAUACACUUACAAUGGACCGAAGAGGAUAAUCUAUGCCUGGUAAAUGCUUGGUUAAAUGUUCCCACUGAUUUUGUUAUUGGCAAUGAAAACACUGCACGGGAUUUUUGGAAUCAAGUCGCUGAAGAAUAUAACGCAAAUACCGCCGAUAAUCGAAGAAGACAACCUAUCCAAAUCAAACGCCGUUGGAGUAAGAUGAGCUCAGAAAUUCUGCUAUUCGAUGGCAUGUGGCGCAGGGUUGACGAUGCAUUCACAGCUACUGGACAAUAUAACCAGGACUUGGUUUCCAAAUCUCUAGAGAUGUAUAGGUUAGAACAAAAUCAAUCAUUCAAAUUUCUCAACAUGUGGAUGUUCAUACGGAACUAUCCCCAGUGGAAUGCAAUGUACUGUCGAGUCAAAAAGCCAUGAUUUAGAUAAUAAAUUGUUGUUCUCA